UACGUAGGGUGCAAGCGUUGUCCGGAAUUAUUGGGCGUAAAGAGCUCGUAGGCGGUUUGUUGCGUCGGCUGUGAAAUCCCGAGGCUCAACCUCGGGUCUGCAGUCGAUACGAGCAAACUAGAGUGUUGCAGGGGAGACUGGAAUUCCUGGUGUAGCGGUGAAAUGCGCAGAUAUCAGGAGGAACACCAAUGGCGAAGGCGGGUCUCUGGGCAGUAACUGACGCUGAGGAGCGAAAGCGUGGGGAGCGAACAGG
rnacentral:rRNA from 1 species